GACGAACGCUGGCGGCGUGCUUAACACAUGCAAGUCGAACGGAAAGGCCCUGCUUUUGUGGGGUGCUCGAGUGGCGAACGGGUGAGUAACACGUGAGUAACCUGCCCUUGACUUUGGGAUAACUUCAGGAAACUGGGGCUAAUACCGGAUAGGAGCUCCUGCUGCAUGGUGGGGGUUGGAAAGUUUCGGCGGUUGGGGAUGGACUCGCGGCUUAUCAGCUUGUUGGUGGGGUAGUGGCUUACCAAGGCUUUGACGGGUAGCGGGCCUGAGAGGUGACCGGCCACAUUGGGACUGAGAUACGGCCCAGACUCCUACGGGAGGCAGCAGUGGGGAAUAUUGCACAAUGGGCGGAAGCCUGAUGCAGCAACGCCGCGUGCGGGAUGACGGCCUUCGGGUUGUAAACCGCUUUCGCCUGUGACGAAGCGUGAGUGACGGUAAUGGGUAAAGAAGCACCGGCUAACUACGUG
rnacentral:rRNA from 1 species